rnacentral:rRNA from 1 species
GACGAACGCUGGCGGCGUGCCUAAUACAUGCAAGUCGAACGCUUCUUUCCUCCCGAGUGCUUGCACUCAAUUGGAAAGAGGAGUGGCGGACGGGUGAGUAACACGUGGGUAACCUACCCAUCAGAGGGGGAUAACACUUGGAAACAGGUGCUAAUACCGCAUAACAGUUUAUGCCGCAUGGCAUAAGAGUGAAAGGCGCUUUCGGGUGUCGCUGAUGGAUGGACCCGCGGUGCAUUAGCUAGUUGGUGAGGUAACGGCUCACCAAGGCCACGAUGCAUAGCCGACCUGAGAGGGUGAUCGGCCACACCGGGACUGAGACACGGCCCAGACUCCUACGGGAGGCAGCAGUAGGGAAUCUUCGGCAGUGGACGAAAGUCUGACCGAGCAACGCCGCGUGAGUGAAGAAGGUUUUCGGAUCGUAAAACUCUGUUGUUAGAGAAGAACAAGGACGUUAGUAACUGAACGUCCCCUGACGGUAUCUAACCAGAAAGCCACGGCUAACUACGU